GCGGCGCACAAUUAGCCCAGCGUCGUCCAGGUUAGGGGAGGGUUUGGCCGGGGUAAAUAAGAAUUUGUUCUUAACUGGCUUGCCUAGGUAAAAAAAGGUAAAAUAGGUAAUUUUACUCAGGCAUUUCAACGGUGGUGGCGCACAGUAAUAGGGAGCCAGGCAGACAUGCUUUUAACCAUAUCCCCAAUGUUAAUCUUGAAAUAUAGCCUAACUGCUACGUUAUUCUCGAAAUUAAAUGUCGAGUUUACUUUCGAAAUAUUGUCACUUUAUUAACUACAUUUAAUUUCGACUUCUCGAAAUAUUGCCACUUUUUUAAAGGGCUAUCAUGCAAAAAAUGAUCCAAGUAUCACCCCAUGUCGCAGUUUUUCUUUUUCUCUUCACUUGGAUUUGAUACUCUUCCGUAGAUUAGAGCACACCUCUAAUACUUUGAAAUCGAAAUCUUACUCGGUGAGUCAGUCUGCACAGGCAUUGUAUCGGGCAGCCCUAUCACCGGUAAGAGGUUGAGUUAGGACCCAGCAUGCCAACCCAGCAGAAGUGUUGUUCUUUAGUGAUAUUAGAUUAUUCUUACGGUUUAAUCAAUUGAAGAUUCAUCACAGAAAUGGAGACAGAUAUUAUUGACUCACUGGAAGAUCUGGGGUACCAAGGCCCUCUGUUGGAGGAUGGAGCACUGGAGGCUGCGGUGAGCGGGGGAGCAGCAGCACCAGAGUUCACCAAGGUGUGUGCCUGGAUCGUCUCAGAGCUCAAGCUCUACUGUCAGCUGGAGGAGAAUGUCCAUGCCACCAACUGUCCCAGUGAGGCAGAGGGGUUCCAGCUGGAGAUGAGUGGUCUUCUGUCUGAGCUGGCCUGUCCUUACAAUGUCCUCACCACAGGAGAUGUCACCCAGAGGCUGCUCAACAAGACAAACUGCCUACUGCUCAUCACCUUUCUGAUCUCGGAGCUGGAGGCCUCCAGGAUGAUCCUGGUCAACAAGCCUCAGAAGGCAGCCCAGGAGGCCGGGGGCAGUGUUGUCUUUAUGGAGCUGAAGGGGAUCUGUGUGUCCCUGGGCAUGUCCAAACCCCCAGCCAACAUCACAAUGUUCCAGUUUUUCAGUGGGAUCGAGAAGAAGCUGAAAGAAGCUCUAGCCAAAGUGCCAUCAACUCAUGUUGGGGGUCCUCUGAUGAAGAAGCCACUUGGACCAGUUCACUUUGAAAAAAUCGAAGCCAUCAAUCAAGCACUUGUGAAUGAGUAUGAAGUCCGAAGGAAGAUGUUAUUGAAACGUCUUGACGUGACAGUUCAGUCCUUCGGUUGGUCUGACAAAGCUAAGAAACAUGCUGAAAAGCUGGCCAAUGUAUACCCGCCUCUGCGUUCAACCCUCGCCACAAAGAGCAAAGUCUCGGUGGCUCACCUCUUUGCUGCACGAGAGGACCUCUCCAAGAUUAUGCGCACAAGUAGUGGCAGGAUAAGGGAGAAGACUGCUUGUGCCAUUAACAAGGUUCUGAUGGGACGUGUGCCAGACAGAGGUGGGCGACCCACUGAGAUUGAGGCCCCCCCACCAGAGAUGCCCACCUGGCAGAAGAGGCAAGACGGUCCACAGGGAGGUGGACACUAUGGCGGGGGUGGACGAGGAGGCAGCAGGGGGGGCUACGACCAACACUCUCAGGGGGGCCGAGGGGGUUACGAGCGAGGAGGGGGUUAUGAAAGGGGCGGGAGGGGUGGAGGAGGGGGUGGCAGAGGGGGCAAGGUGCAGGGAGGCUGGUCGGACGGAGGAGGAGGAGGAGGAGGAGGAGGAGGAGGAGGUGGUGGUGGUGGUGGUGGUUACCAAGGUCAUUACCAGGAAGGAGGUGGCCACCAAGCGGGUGGGGGGAGAGGAGGUUAUGGGGGUGGAAAAUUUCAAGGGGGCUUCCAGGGCCCUGGUUACCCUGCAGGAGGGCAUCAAGGCGGAGGAGGGGGCGGAGGAGGUGGUUACCAACAUGACAACCACAAUCAAGAUGGCGGUCGCCACCAGGACAGGGGUGGCCGAGGGGGUCGCGGGGGUAGGGGAAGAGGUGAUGGUAGAGGAAGAGGUGAUGGUAGGGGAAGAGGACAGGGGGGAGGUUGGGGAGGGCGAGGGGGUCAGAAUUUGAACCAAGGAGGACAGUUUGAACAGUUCUUCCAGCAGGGUGGCCAGCAGUACAAUCAAGCAGGCUUUAGCCAGGGGAGCAAAAACUACACUAGUUGAAAAGAAAGUGCAGGCCACUGAAGCAGAGAUCAUGCAAGAGCCAUGAAGUGAAAACGCCUUAUUUUCUAAAUGUGAAUAUUAAUAUAAAGCAUGGUUAUUAUAAUUUCUUCCCUAAACCGAAUAAGAAUGUGGAGAGUGACCAUGUCUCCAACAGAAGAGAAAAGUCCAAGUCAUGCAUGACAUGAGAGCUCAAACAAACCAGACUUUUCCACAAUUCCAUGGCUGUUAACAAAUGACUGUUCCCAUGUGUUCUUUUGCAUAUGUGAGUGCUUUUGUGUUUAUGCUGUGUUCCACUAUCUUGCCACAUGAAAGUUAAAGCCAAUGUUUGCCAUUGUAACACCUAAAUUAUAAAGCCUUAUCUUGAAGAUUAUUUGAAAGAGGAGUUGAAUGUCAUGUAACUACAUAUGAUAAGGUGACAAUUGUGGAAGUAUUGUAGUCCAUCCUUAGUUAAUUUAAUUAAUACUUGAAAAGAAACGAGCUUUAUUUCUCCCUUUUUUUUUUUUUUUGUAAGCUUUGGUUUACAUUAUUGUUACUAGGAAUGGGUUAAAAAUAAGCUUGAGCCUCAAAUGUUUUGCUGUUGCAAAUAGUUUUGACUGGUAUCUCCUCUAUUACUUAUUUAAAAUAUGCCACCUAAUGAUGCUUAUAAACAAAAUUGUGUACAUACUUGGAUGUAAGAAAGACUACUUGGAAGUGUGAAUGAAUGAGAGGUGAGCAAUAAAAUCUAAUGGAUUUAACAUGCCUGUCAUCUUUAUUUGGUCAUGCUUUCAGAUUUAAUUGUGACCAGUAUUUUGUACAUAAUUUGAAAACCAGUGGACUCACAUUAGCUCCACAUCAAUUAAUGAUUGAUCAUAAUGUAAUCAAAGAGGAAAGUAUAAAAACGUGCUGUAAUGCUAUAGCUAAUCCUUGGUCCAGGGUGGGCUUUUAUUUUGAAAUACAGGAUACCGGAUGUUGUACACUUUACAGCUUGAAGUUCUUCCGCUUUCAUUCACCCGCCAGCUACUUCAAAGCAAGCGAACUAACGAGUAAAUGUUUGUUUUUACAUUCGGGGUUUCCCUGAUAAGUAUUGAUAUCUAGCAUUCAUUUAAUUGCCGUCAUCAUUUGACGGCAACAAUGUUUCGUGGUUUUCACAAUCCCGGAGAACUUCACCGGGGCCCUGCUCCCUUAGGCCACCCAUCCCAUGUACAGCCACCCGGUCCCAGCUACGGAGGGCCCUUUGGCCCGCCACCCCACGUUCCACUGCCUGGACACUUUCCUCCUGGAUCUUGUCAUCCUUUCUUACCUCCCGGAUCGGGAAGUGAAUACCUCCACAGGCCAAUGAGGGAACAUUAUAUCAAUACUCCACACUGCAGCAGUUAUUCCAUUGACCGCAGCACAGUGAUCAGUCUGGGUAGUCAACAGAUUCUCCCACCAGACACACAGCAUCUUCAGAUGCCACAGUGGCCCACCAAUCCUUUGGAAUCAUGCCAAAGAGACAAGAGUGAGAACUUGACUGCUGGUGAAGAAUUCCUCAGAUGCCUUGCGGCUAAUAAGCCAGUCCCUGACUUCCUCAAAGGAGUCAACCUGUUGGACGCAGGGAAGGUAGUCAAGGCACCAGGUGUACCAGAAGACCGGGGUUAUGAGAGGCAGAGACUCCGGAGCAAAUCUCGCAGUCCAGCGAAGGAAAGCAGGGGCAGGAGCAAGAGCCGAGCAAAGAGCCAGGUAAGAAGCAAGAGCCGGGCAAGAAGCAAGAGCUGUCCGCGCAGCAGAAGUCGUACCCGAGGGAAAAGCCGGGCAAGAAGCAGGAGUCGCAGUCGUGGAAAGAGCCAGGUCAGAAGCAAGAGCAAGGCUCGUAGUAGGAGCCGGAGCCGAGGGAAAAGUCGGGCAAGGAGCAAAAGCAGAUCAAGGAGUAGGAGUCGCAGCUAUGGAAAGAGCCGGGGCAGGUUGGACCAUCAUUCAGACCACAGGGACAAAAGGAGCCCCAUUCGGAGCAGUAGCAGCAGGAUCAGUAAUCACUCCUCCGCACACAAUGACCUGCUCGAGGGCCUGAAACGGGUUAUGAACAGCAAGCAACUGGAGGACAGUAUGCCUUCCAUCAAGAAUGCCAUUCUCACAAUACAGGCCAAUAACUUUAGCAGAGAUAUCCAGAGCAACUGUCUUCCAUGUGGACCAGUCUUGGCCAGCAGACAGGAAUUUCUUCAAGCCUCAGAUGGGCCUAAGCCAGUCAGCAGACAGGAGGAGACCGACAGCAAUCUUCUCCCCCACGAGAGAGUGGGCUGUGACUUCUCCUGGCUGCAGGGCACCAGGGAGGUCUCACCUGUUCAGAAGCCGGAGGAGGUCGAGGAUGAGGAGAACUUCCUCUAUGGGAAUGAGGAUAACCAGUCAAAACAACGCCCUGCCACCCUGCCUUUUGCACAGUCCACAUCCAUUACCCAGCAGAGCGAUGCAGAGAUCUCCCCAGCAGGCCCACCCUACUAUCAAAGCCAGCCUCUGUUCGGGAACCAUGGUGAAGUCCAGGAGUUCAAGAUGCCUCCUCAACCGGUCCAGUCUAGUGUGAGGCCUGAGCAGAGGGUGCAGCCUGUUCCUGCUCCUGAUGUGAAGCCCACCCCCACUGUGAAGGAAUGUGAGGAGUUCAAGGCCAUGUUGAAGAACAUUGGGCUGAAUCUGGGCACAUCAGAGAUCAGUAAGAUGAUGGUCAAGCUGCAGCAACAGAAGGAGGGGAAGAUGCCAGAGCAGAAGAGGGAGGAGAAAGUGCCAUCACCAGCACCAGUGCUGCCUCUUCCUCUUGUAGUUGGGGCAUCACAGGAGCCCAGACUGGCCUCGCCAGCACCCGGGGCAGCACUCGGGACAGCACCAAUACGACAAGCAUUGGAGUCAUUACAGUUCAUUAUUAAAGCAACAAGGGAGAAAAGGGCCAAUAGUGAUCCACAUGAUGGCAACCAUUCCCAGAGGAAUUCAGACAAACAGAAGAGCAAAGAUGACGAGGAGAGUCAGAGGAGAUCGAGACAGGACCAAAUGAAAAGGAAAGACACUCUUGUGAAGGAACUGGAGGAAUUGCUAAAGCAGGAUGGGUCUACCUUUUUGAUUCCGGUCAUCGGGUUCUACUGUCAGAGGUGUGAGGAGUUCUUCGGAGACCUGACCACUGCUGAGGGCCAUGCUGCAACCCACCGGCGGAAUGAGCCUAGCAUGCAGCAGCAUGGAGACAGACGACCUGGAGAGGACAGAAGACACCCUAGCCAUUACAUCGGGCACCCCCUGGCUCCAGAGCGGAGGGACCAGAGAGACCCAAGAGAUCAGAGGUAUCGCAAACUAGACGAGGGCCCAAAGGGUUACAGGAACGACAGGGAGAAGAUCUACGUGAAAGAGGAACGACCUGGAAGCCCCAGGAUAAAGAUGACGGUGGUCCGCGGGCACACCCCACCAGGUCUGCAGAAGGCCAGGGGGAGAGAGGAGGGGAGGGUGGAUAAGGGCUCUUGUGCUGCUUCCUCUGGCCCUGCCAGUGGGAAAUAUGAUAGGGUCAAACUGGAGGAGGUGGAGACCAAAGGAAAGCCCAACGUGGAAGUAUGUGACAAAGAUAAAGGAGAAAGCAGUUCUAGCAGUGAUGACGAGAAAGACAAAUCUCCUAAAGGCAACAAAAAGAAAAAGAAGAAGGAGAAGAAGAAGAAGAAGAAGAAGAAGCAAAGGGGUUAGAAGUAAUAGCUGCUGUACUGCAUGUCCUGGUUUGAUUGUACUGUAUCUCUGGAGGACCUGGCCUUGGGUCAUUGUUUGGCAUCAUUGCAGCUGUUUUCAGAAGUUGGUGCUUUUAACAUUAGAAAGAAGCAGUGUUCCUCUGAUUUGUUCUCUCCUUUUGGGGUUGUCUUUUUUUUCCAACAAACUGUGUUCCUCUGUUGUAGUGGAUAACAGGACAUUUUCAUUGAAUGCUGUUGGAGGACAGGACGUUCCAGGGUGCAUAUGCAGCAUUUAUGAUGUCCAGAAUCAUUUUGCUGCCAGCUACUGAUCCUAUUGUUCAGACCUUUAGUUACUGUAGAUGUGCAUUAAAUAACCCUCCUUAUAUUGGGCCAUGUUUGUGUAUAUUUCACCCAGUACAACCUUGAUUUAGUGCUUCAAGUACUAUCAAAUGUACUUUUGCCAUUUAAAGGUCAACUGCCAUUUGAAGCGUGUGCUGUCUUUCUUCCUAAUGUUAAACCGUUGAGAUGGAAUUAUUCUGUAAUGAAGAAAUUUUUAUACAUUGUCCUCUUAUUUAGGUCUCAGCAAUUGAUGGCGCAAGGCUAUUUGCAAGCGCACAUGUGCUUGCCAAAGUCAUUGGAUCCUAUCAGGAUAGGAACAGUUGACAUGUUUUUGUAAGGUGAUCACUUUUUUUUUUUUGUCUGCUGUUGCUCACUCUCACUUCCUCUUUCUCACACACUAGGCAUUUCCAUUGAUCCAGGUUUAUUCGACAAAAGCAAUGUCAGGGGAAAAAAAUAUUCUGCCGUGUAAUAGAAACGGCAGAUAUAGGAGACAUUUUAAAGCUCGACAACAUUUUUAUCCAUUCGAUAGGGUUCUAUUUUUCUUUUGUUGAACUUUCUUUACUGCAACUAAUGAGGGAAACUGUUUUCGAAUAAAUGUUGAUUGUAAAAUACUUUUGAAGGUACGCUGGGCAUGUGAUGUCAUCACAUAGCUAUAGUCUCCACUCCUAAAUGCCUACUGCUUGCAAAAUAAGUUUUCUAUUAAGCUAAAUAUGGAAUUGUUUUAAGAUGGUCAUACCAUGGAUCAUUUAGCAAUUUGAAUUUUAUGACCCCUUUAGGUAAUCAAAAAUAUUUAGUGAUUUGAUAAAAUAUUUCAUUUCACCUCUAUUACUCUAGCCCAUAGAAACACAUUGAAUAACACAAUAAAUGUCAUAAGACAGUCAGGGAAUAAGGUUUUAAAGUGUCUGUCCUAGAUAUACGAAAGCUCAGGAAAUAGUUUAGUUUAGAAAGUAUUCAUACCCCUUGAUUUAUUCCACAUUUUGUUGUGCCUGAAUUAAACAAAACUAAAAAUAAUUCUCACCCAUCUACACACAAUACCCCAUAAUGACAAAGUGAAAACAUGUUUUUAGAAAUGUGCAAAUUUAUUGAAAAUUAAAUAUAGAAAUGUCUCAUUUACAUACACUACCGUUCAAAAGUUUGGGGUCACUUAGAAAUGUCCUUGUUUUUGAAAGAAAAGAAAAAAAAAUGGUCCAUUAAAAUAACAUCAAAUUGAUCAGAAAUACAAUGUAAAAAUUGUU
rnacentral:lncRNA from 1 species